GCAACGAGGCAGCGCAGUGUGAGUUUUGAUCCUGGCUCAAGAAUGAACGCUGGCGGCAGGCCUAACACAUGCAAGUCGACGCGGGUAACAGGAACCACGCUUGCUUUUUCUCCUCACGAGUGGCGACGGGUGAGUAAUGUCUGGGAAUACUGCCUGAUGGAGGGGGAUAACUACUGGCAACGGUAGCUAAUACCGCAUAACGUCGGCAAGACCAAAUGAGGGGGCCUUUCGGGGCCUCUUGCCAUCAGGAUGUGCCCAGAUGGGAUUAGCUAGUAGGUGGGGUAACUGGCUCACCUAGGCGACGAUCCACUAGCUGGUCUGAGAGGAUGACCAGCCACACUGGAACUGAGACACGGUCCAAGACUCUCUACGGGAGGCAGCAGUGGGACUAUAUUGCACAAUGAGCGCUCUGCCCUGAUGCAUCCAUGCCAGGGUGUAUUGAAGAAGCCCUUCGGGUUGUAAAGUACUUUUCAGCGAGGAGGAGGGCUCGAAAGGGUAACACCUUCGCUCAUUGACGUUCCCGACAGAAGAAGCACCGUCUAACUCCUUGCCAACAGCCCCGGAAGUACGAAGGUCACAUGUGAAAAUUGGAAUUACUGGACGAAAAGCGCACGGAGCCUGGCUAGUUAAGUCAGAUGAUGAAAACCCCGGGCUCAACCUGGGAACUGCAUCUGAUACUGGCAAGCUUGAGUCUCGUAGAGGGGGGUAGAAUUCCAGGUGUAGCAGGUGAAAGGCCGUAGAGAUCUGGAGGAAUACCGGUGGCCGAAGGCGGCCCCCUGGACGAAGACUGACGCUCAGAGUGCCGAAAGCGUGGGGAGCAAACAGGAUUAGAUACCCUGGGAGUCCACGCCGGAAACGAAGUCGACUUGGAGGUUGUGCGCCUUGAGGCGCGGCUUCCGGAGCUAACGCGUUAAGUCGACCGCCUGGGGAGGACCGGCCGCAAGGUUAAAAACUCAAAUGAAUUGACGGGGGCCCGCACAAAGCGGCGGAAGCAUUGUGGUUUAAUACGAGGCAACGCGAAGAACCCUUACCUGGUCUUGACAUCCACGGAAGUUUUCAGAGAUGGAGAAUGUGCCUUCGGGAACCGUGAGACAGGUGCUGCAUGGCUGUCGUCAGCUCGUGUUGUGAAAUGUUGGGUUAAGUCCCGCAACGAGCGCAACCCUUAUCCUUUGUUGCCAGCGGUCCGGCCGGGAACUCAAAGGAGACUGCCAGUGAUAAACUGGAGGAAGGUGGGGAUGACGUCAAGUCAUCAUGGCCCUUACGACCAGGGCUACACACGUGCUACAAUGGCGCAUACAAAGAGAAGCGACCUCGCGAGAGCAAGCGGACCUCAUAAAGUGCGUCGUAGUCCGGAUUGGAGUCUGCAACUCGACUCCAUGAAGUCGGAAUCGCUAGUAAUCGUGGAUCAGAAUGCCACGGUGAAUACGUUCCCGGGCCUUGUACACACCGCCCGUCACACCAUGGGAGUGGGUUGCAAAAGAAGUAGGUAGCUUAACCUUCGGGAGGGCGCUUACCACUUUGUGAUUCAUGACUGGGGUGAAGUCGUAACAGUAR
rnacentral:rRNA from 1 species